rnacentral:misc_RNA from 1 species
UGUUGCCGUCUCAGGCAAGAAGCCGCCGGCGAAGCCACCCUCUCUCUCUCCUUUUCCGGAGGAAAACCCAACACUGUCGAGAACCCCUCUCUUCUUCUCCUCCCAUUCUCCCUCCGCCUUUUUUUCUUCUACGUACGAUAAGGCCACAGCAACAGGAACGCCACUCCGACUAGUUGUUCCGCCGGCUAAGAAACCAGGCUAUAGCGAAGCCUCUCUCCUCCUCUCUUUUCUUUUUUUCGGCGACAGCGACCCCGACUCCAGCAAGCCAGCAGCCAGCAGAGGCCGCUCCGACCGUGAAGAGUCGGGUGGACUAGAAGCAUCAAGGCUUGGGUUUGCUAAAGAAGAAUCUAUCCCGUCCAGGAUUUUGAACAUAAAGUUCAACUAUGUCGAAGAGUUUGCAUCUGGGACGAAAUUAGUAGUAGUGUUUAGACUUUAUGUGUUAUUUUAUUUGCUUCUGUAAUAAUUUAGAGUAACCCAACUCUCUAUAUGUAUAUAAAACAAUUUGGGGGAGGGGAAUUUACG